GACGAACGCUGGCGGCGUGCUUAACACAUGCAAGUCGAACGGAAAGGCCCUGCUUUUGUGGGGUGCUCGAGUGGCGAACGGGUGAGUAACACGUGAGUAACCUGCCCUUGUCUUUGGGAUAACUUCAGGAAACUGGUGCUAAUACCGGAUAGGAGCUCCUGCUGCAUUGUGGGGGUGGGAAAGUCUCUGCGGUUGGGGAUGGACUCUUGGCUGGUCAGCUUGUUGGUGGGGGGGUGGCUUACCACGGCUUUGACGGGUAGCCGGCCUGAGAGGGUGACCGGCGAGAGUGGGCCUGGGCUACGGCGGGGGGUGGUAGGGGAGGCAGCAGUGCGGUGUGUUGCAGAAUGGGCGGGCGCCGGAGGCGGCGGGGCGGCGUGCGGGGGGAUGGCUUUCUCGUUCUAAAACGCUUACGGCUGUGCCGUAGCGUGUGUGACGGUAGUGGGUAAAGAAGCGCCGGCUAACUACGUG
rnacentral:rRNA from 1 species